GACGAACCGUGCGAACGUUGUUCGGAAUCACUGGGCUUAAAGGGCGCGUAGGCGGGCUGCCAAGUCUGGGGUGAAAUCCCACGGCUCAACCGUGGAACUGCCUCGGAUACUGGCGGUCUCGAGGGAGGUAGGGGCAUGCGGAACUGUGGGUGGAGCGGUGAAAUGCGUUGAUAUCCACAGGAACUCCGGUGGCGAAAGCGGCGUGCUGGACCUCUUCUGACGCUGAGGCGCGAAGGCGUGGGGAGCGAACGGG
rnacentral:rRNA from 1 species